rnacentral:misc_RNA from 1 species
CAAGACAUCUUCAUAAUGCUCUUGGCUCUUAGAACUUUCGAUUCGUUGAUUGCAGAUGUCCUCUUCUAAUGGUGGAUUUAUGGAUUCCUCUAAGACUCUUUUAGAGCUNNNUUAGAGCUGGAACAUAAUGCAGAGGCCCUACAGCCAGGAGACUCUACAUUUGGCUCCCCAGAACCAUCACUUUCUUUUCGAUCAACAAACUUGUCAGAGGAGUUCUCCAUUG